AUUGAACGCUGGCGGCAUGCCUUACACAUGCAAGUCGAACGGUAACGCGGGGCAACCUGGCGACGAGUGGCGAACGGGUGAGUAAUGCAUCGGAACGUGCCCAGUAGUGGGGGAUAGCCCGGCGAAAGCCGGAUUAAUACCGCAUACGACCUACGGGUGAAAGCGGGGGACCGCAAGGCCUCGCGCUAUUGGAGCGGCCGAUGUCUGAUUAGGUAGUUGGUGGGGUAAAGGCCUACCAAGCCUACGAUCUGUAGCUGGUCUGAGAGGACGACCAGCCACACUGGGACUGAGACACGGCCCAGACUCCUACGGGAGGCAGCAGUGGGGAAUUUUGGACAAUGGGGGCAACCCUGAUCCAGCCAUGCCGCGUGCGGGAAGAAGGCCUUCGGGUUGUAAACCGCUUUUGUCGGGGAAGAAACGCUCCGGGCUAAUACCCUGGAGUAAUGACGGUACCCGAAGAAUAAGCACCGGCUAACUACGUGCCAGCCGCCGCGGUAACAC
rnacentral:rRNA from 1 species